rnacentral:rRNA from 1 species
GACGAACGCUGGCGGCGUGCUUAACACAUGCAAGUCGAACGGAAAGGCCCUGCUUUUGUGGGGUGCUCGAGUGGCGAACGGGUGAGUAACACGUGAGUAACCUGCCCUUGACUUUGGGAUAACUUCAGGAAACUGGGGCUAAUACCGGAUAGGAGCUCCUGCUGCAUGGUGGGGGUUGGAACGUUUCGGCGGUUGGGGAUGGACUCGCGGCUUAUCGGCUUGUUGGUGGGGUAGUGGCUUACCAAGGCUUUGACGGGUAGCCGGCCUGAGAGGGUGACCGGCCACAUUACGCCUGAGAUACGGCGCAGACUCGUAUGGGAGGCAGCAGUGGGGAAUAUUGCACAAUGGGCGGAAGCCUGAUGCAGCAACGCCGCGUGCGGGAUGACGGCCUUCGGGUUGUAAACCGCAGUCGCCUGUGACGAAGCGUGAGUGACGGUACUGGGUGAAGAAGCACCGGCUAACUACGUG